CCUUUCCUCUGCUCUCUCCCACAACAGUUCUGGUUCCACCAACCACAGUCAAAGCAAAACCUUGUCUGCUGCAAAAGGCCCAAUCCUGGGAAAUGAAGGUCGACUUGGGGAGAAGGCUGAAGUUCUCACAGUUUGUCCAGACAUCCCGGACGCCGAAUGUGCUGCUGUGGUCGGAAGUAGCUAAGAAGGGUCAUCCAGAGCAAACAGGUCCAGUGAGGGACUUGACAAAGCACGGCUCACAGCCCCUCAUGAUGAGAAACAUCUAGCCCGGUACAUAAUGGAUGGAUGGAACGUUUCUAAAAUGA